CUAAAAUGUUACAAAAGAAAAUGCCACGUGACAAUGCUGAUAUAAUAUAUUUAACAUGAACUUUUGGAAUAAACCAUCACAAAACAACUAUAAGAUCGAAUAGCAUUGCCUAACUGUAACUACAAAAGCUUUUUUUUUUUGUCAAACACACCAUUUAAUGACAAGAAUUGAUGACCAUUAAAAUUAUAGCAAUUUUAAUGAAGUGCUCAUUCCCCAUAUACCCCGUACUCACACAUACUCCACAACCUCAAUUUUUUUCACCACGAAUUCACGCACACCGACUCUCCCUCUCCUGUUUCUCACUCAGACUUUAAUUAGAUCCCUGCAAGGAAUUCUAAAGACUAGAACAAUAUUUGUCUUGUCUCAGAUAUCUGCUCAUCAAAUGCAAGGUGAUACAUAAAUGCUAGUCUGCCACUAUUAAUAAAAUAUUAAAACAUAACAUGAUAACAUCCAAUAUAAAUUUCCCAACUGCGCGCGCGCGCACACACACAAAACAACUGCUUAAAAAUACAUGUUCUACCAAUCAAAACCCCCAGUUCUUCCUUCCCAAAAUAUAUGACCAUGAACCCAGAUAUAGUGUUUAACAUUUUAUAACAGAACACUUCAAACAAAAAUACUAAAAAAUUACACGGUUAAAUAACAAUCCUGAAUACCAAUAUAUCAUCUGUUCCCAAAACCCUACCUUGCAGCUAGGCAAUUUACUGUUGAGGCCAAAACGAAAUCAACACCACCUUUGUAAUGUUCACUACUCUCAAAAUACGGACUAGGAAUAUCAGAAAUUCUGAAGCAAUAAAUUAGAAAUCUUCAAUUUUGGAUCCCACUUAUCAAUUUGAUGAUCAAUAAUUACCACCAAAAGUUCAUUGAUACCUUCAUGUAUACUUAACCCAUGUCAAACACGCCAUUUCCAAACAAGUAUCUCAUGAUCAAACUUCUAAAAACACUAUUAAGUACAUAUGUAUUUAUGUCCCGAUCUAACACAAUACUAUUCUUCUAGUUCCAUGAAAACAGAGAAGCACCUACAAGACCUGAACUAAUGUCACCCAAUUCAUGAUUAGUAAUAAAAUAUCUUCUCCUACAGCACCAAACUAUGAGAUGGAAAAAAAAUAUAAAACAAAAGAGACUAAUAAAAUAAAUUUAAGGCUGAAGACAAGUUGAUCUAUGACUAAAAAUACAUGCAUGCUUUGCAGAUCUCAUGAAUGAAUUUCCUAAUGUUUGCUGCAGUUGUAGGCUUCUAAGAUGGCCAUUGGUCUUAUAUUUCAACUUCUACAACCUACAACUCCAAAUGCCCAUACAACCAUAGACCUAUGCAUGAUCAACCAAAAUGAGACUUGCUACCAAGUAAUUUGCAAGCUUAAUUAGCCAUUCUAAAAUUCUAUAGGAAAGUUACAAGUAAUCCCCUAUUUCCUAAUGAGGAAAAAAAAAAAAAAACAACACUUUGAAAUCUCAAAAAUUGAUAAUACUACUUAAUACUGCUGUUUGCUGAUGGAUCAUGAGAGUGCAACUAUAUAUAAGAAUGAGACACAGGUCACGUGUCACUGUAACAGUAGUUGUAAAAUGGGAACAGGCAACCAUUAAAUACUUUGUGCAAAUUAUAGGGCUUCAAGAGAGAUGUAAUUAAUAGAUUCAAAACUCAGAAUUUCUGAUAUGUCUAGUAUAUUUUAAGAUAAGUUAACAAAAUAAGGUGGUUGUUGAUUACUUUAGGCCUCAGGUGCAUCUGAAACCAAGAAAAAUUCCUCCUACCAAGAAAAAUCUUGUCCUACACCCUGUAGAGAAUUAUCUGUCUAAUAAUGAACACUGCUGCAUCUGGGAAUUCACGUUGGAAAAUAAAGAUAUGGACGGAAACCACUGAGAGAAUCACAAGUUAGAACACUAGACCUGCCCAAAUAACAGCAGAGUAAAUAAACAAAAGGAUAAAGCAGCCCAGACAAUAUUUUUAUCAAAUGCAUAAAGCAUAAAGAAUUAUUCCAACUCAACAGAAUAUAAUUGGUGCAAAAAUUGUCAAUGGAAAGCAUAAAGUAAACAAUACCUAACAUUUAUGGAGGCUAUCUCUUUUCAGGACCCUCCAACACCCUUGCCUGCAAUAGCUACCUUCUGAUUUAAGGAACAAGAGAAAAGAUUGGUUACAAAAUAGUAUAUUUACAAAUAGUAAUUUUGCCUAUCCAUAUGAUAUGCAAUAGGAAUCUCCUGGAAAAAAGGACCUUACAGACUCAAUAUUUCCUUUUCCAUUCAUUGACAGAGAAUUUGACGAAGGUUGUGAAAAUCUAGGAGAUAAGAGAGUAAUAUGUUAGCUCCGACUGUAAAGCAUAUCAGAUUGUAAGCUAUAUAAAGCAUUUAAUGAUGAAAUGUCAUAAAGCAAUGAAAAAUGGAGUAUACAGUUCAUAAAAACCUGAUAUCCCUUGCUUUCCUUUUCUCUUCUUCCAGUGUAUCUGUUUUAGAAGUUGGUGCAAAUCUUUCAAGUCGAGCUUUUUUCUUUGCUUCCUCAUCAGCAGUCACAGGAAGUCCAAACCUCUCUGCUCUAGCCUUCUUCUUCAGCUGCUCUGAAGUCUUUAAUUCAACCCCAGUGCCAAACCUUUCAGCUCGAGAAUUGCGUUUCUCUUCCUCAGACAACUGAACAGUGAUCCCAAAACGCUCAGCGCGGCGGAUCUUCUUCUCUGUGUCAGUGACUGGGGCUGUAUCUCCUGAACGCGAGCUAACCGCCGUGCCCUUGCCGCUCUUUGAAUCCUCGCCGUCCUUCUUAAGAGCGUCCGCAUCUGAAUUAACGAUGGAUGGGGAGAUGAUGGUGGAAUCCUCGAGACGAUCUGGCUUGGCGAGCGCAGGAGCUGUCGCGUCUAGGGUUUUGCUAGGAUUGUCUUGGAGAAGAGUGGUGGCGGUAGCCAGAUUCUCCGUGCCGGUUGUCAUUUCGAGAGAGAAGAUGAUAAUGGAGAGUGCGAGAGAGGUUGGCUGGGAAUGCGUGGGUGAUUUGGGGACUUUAUCGCGAGGCAAGAAAAAGGGUACUUCAGACUAUAAAAAAACCAAGUCAAGUGAUUAGCGGCCUAAAACGAUUGAUUGGGCUUCUUUUUCCAAGUCAUGGUCACGGUUUAACCCCAGAAGGAGCCACACCCUAACCCGAGUCGAGUCGAGUCUCGCUCAGAAAAAUUUACGAGGGCUCGAAAUGAGACGCGUACACCACUGAUCUGGGCUUGGCCAGCUCCAAAGGUUAAUGCAUUUGCAACUUAAAAAGGUGACACCUCGCAAGAACAG
rnacentral:misc_RNA from 1 species